UACGUAGGUGGCAAGCGUUGUCCGGAUUUACUGGGCGUAAAGAGCGCGCAGGCGGUCGAUUUAGUCGCGUGUGAAAGCCCCCGGCUCAACUGGGGAGGGUCACGCGAUACUGAUCGACUCGAAGGCAGGAGAGGGUAGUGGAAUUCCCGGUGUAGUGGUGAAAUGCGCAGAUAUCGGGAGGAACACCAGUAGCGAAGGCGGUUCUCUGGGCCGGUACUGACGCUGAGGAGCGAAAGCGUGGGGAGCAAACAGG
rnacentral:rRNA from 1 species